ACCUUUUUGUUUGUUUGAUUAAAAGUAUUUUCUGCUCAAUGUUUUUAAAUAGCUGCGGUACUUUGACCGUGCAAAGGUAGCAUAAUCAUUUGCCUCAUAAUUGGGGGCUAGUAUGAAUGGGAUUACGAAAAUUUUUCUUUCUUUUUUUUUUUUUAUGAAAUUAUAUUUAAUGUGAAGAUACAUUAUUAUAUAAAAAAGACAAGAAGACCCUUUUGAGCUUUAUUUUUUUUUAUUUUUUUGUGUAAUUUAUUAUUUAGUUGGGGCGAUUAAAGAAGAAUUAUUUUAAAUCUUCUUUUUUGUAUUUUGUACCAUAGUUUUUGGUUUUUAGAAUUAGUUACCAAAGGGAUAACAGCGUAAUUUUUUUUGAGAGUUCUUAUUAAAAAAAAAGAUUGCGACCUCGAUGUUGACUUAUAAUUUCCUUUUGGUGCAGUAGCUAGUAAGGUUGGUC
rnacentral:rRNA from 1 species